rnacentral:rRNA from 1 species
CCAGAAGUGGUUAGCCUAACCUUCGGGAGGGCGAUCACCACGGUGUGGUUCAUGACUGGGGUGAAGUCGUAACAAGGUAGCCCUAGGGGAACCUGGGGCUGGAUCACCUCCUUA